GAUGAACGCUGGCGGCGUGCCUAAUACAUGCAAGUCGAGCGAACAGAUGAGUAGCUUGAUCCUCUGACGUUAGCGGCGGACGGGUGAAUAACACGUGGAUAACCUCCCUAUAAGACUGGGAUAACUGCGGGAAACCGUCGCUAAUACCGUAUAAUAUAUUGAACCACAUGGUUCAAUAAUGAAAUACGGUUUUGCUGUCACUUAUCGAUGUAUCAGCGCCGCAUUAGCUAGUUGGUAAAGUAACGGCUUACCAAGGCAACGGUGCGUAGCCGACCUGAGAGGGUGAGCGGGCACGAUGGAAUGGAGAGACGGUCAAGACUCCUAAGGCAGGCAGCAGUAGGGAGUCUGCCGCAAUGGGCGAAAGUCUGACGGAGCAACGCCGCGUGAGUGAGGAAGGUCUUCUGAUCGUAAAACGCUGUUAUGAGGGAAGAACAAAUGUGUAAGUAACUAGGCACGUCUUGACGGUACCUAAUCAGAAAGCCACGGCUAACUACGUG
rnacentral:rRNA from 1 species